UUUUAUUUGAGAGUUUGAUCCUGGCUCAGGAUGAACGCUGGCGGCGUGCCUAACACAUGCAAGUUGAGCGAUUUACUUCGGUAAAGAGCGGCGGACGGGUGAGUAACGCGUGGGUAACCUACCCUGUACACACGGAUAACAUACCGAAAGGUAUGCUAAUACGGGAUAAUAUAUUUGAGAGGCAUCUCUUGAAUAUCAAAGGUGAGCCAGUACAGGAUGGACCCGCGUCUGAUUAGCUAGUUGGUAAGGUAACGGCUUACCAAGGCGACGAUCAGUAGCCGACCUGAGAGGGUGAUCGGCCACAUUGGAACUGAGACACGGUCCAAACUCCUACGGGAGGCAGCAGUGGGGAAUAUUGCACAAUGGGCGAAAGCCUGAUGCAGCAACGCCGCGUGAGUGAUGAAGGCCUUCGGGUCGUAAAACUCUGUCCUCAAGGAAGAUAAUGACGGUACUUGAGGAGGAAGCCCCGGCUAACUACGUGCCAGCAGCCGCGGUAAUACGUAGGGGGCU
rnacentral:rRNA from 1 species